AAUCUAGUGCAGUGCUUAUAUUCUUGGGCUCUGGAGUUAAAUAGAAGGCCUGGGUUGAACCCCUACUCUGCCACUUGGGAGCUGUGUAGCUUCAGGCAAACUGUUUAAUCUAAGUCUCAUUGCUCUCCUCUGUGAAACGGGGACAGGAAUUGACCUCAGAGAGCUGCUAUAAGAAUGAAUAAGAUACACAUAUUAUGCUAUUAUCCUAGCCCUCUACCUUACACAUCAUAUUUGGUCAUUUAAUAUUAGCUGUUAGUACCAUGGUAAUAGUUUAGGAUUUGGUAAGCAGAACUCCAUCACGCAAUGAGUCACUGUAACAUCAAUGCCGAUAGACCAAGGAUAAAUCAUAUUUAUCAACGUGGUUGAAUCUAGAAUAACACAGGUCUGAAAUGCAAUCAGCUUAUGAAGUAUAUAUGAAUUACGCUUUCUAUUCUAGUGUUAUAAGUUGAAUCACUCUAUCUAAUAUCAUCAGAAUUUACCCUAAAAGAAAGGAAUAUUGUAAUUGUAAAUGAUAGCAGAGGAGAAUAAAGGCCACCAUCAUGGAAAUAAAUGUCAGUAGAAACCC
rnacentral:lncRNA from 10 species